rnacentral:ribozyme from 1 species
ACGAGCCACAUGCAGGGAAACUUGCACGUGUGGUUCUGGCCAGAAAAGGGUCCAUCCCAAACCUAUCCUCCUUCUGGUUUGUCUGGGAGCCCUUCCAUCCUGUGGGUCCCAGUCCAUUGUUGU